rnacentral:lncRNA from 1 species
AUUUUUGAAGUAUCCCUUGAGAAAUUUGAUCAAUUGGUGAGAUAGCUUGUUGAAGAAGUUACUCAAGAUACCUAGUCAAACUAGGGUUUCCAAGGCAAAUCACCUCCAAACUCUUGAAGAAUUCUUGACCAAUAUAACAUAUAGAGAUUCAAUGGGAAUCAUAUAUGACGCUUUUAGAAAUUGUGAAUCAAUCCUUGGUUGUGCUUUUAGCUAUGAGGGUCUUAAAC